GGCUUUCAGCCAGAAUCUGUGUGAAGAAGUCAUGUAGAACUGAUACCUCCAGUUAGUCUCAGACUCAAAGGAUCUACAUGGGGACACAGAAAGCAUGAAUCAUGAGAUCCACUGAUUUAUCAUAAAUAAGAAUACUCUGGAGCAGCCAGCCUGACAGAACAUUGAAACAGCUUUUUACAGGUUCACUAUGAAGAGCAAAGUUAGCACCUGUGCAAUGAUCCAAUUUGUUUUUGGGAUUUUGUGCUACAUUUCACCUCACCAAUUGCAGCUUCACCACAAGAGGCGGGGUCCUCAGCUGUCAAGGGCGCACGGAUACACUGAGACACAGCAAUGGUUAAUGAUGCUCUAGAAUCUAGAUGGUCUGUGAGGUUCAUCAG